GACGAGGGAUCCUAGCGUUGUUCGGAAUCAUUGGGCGUAAAGAGUAUGUAGGCGGCCUUGUAAGUCAGUUGUGAAAGCCCCGGGCUCAACCCGGGAAGUGCAAUUGAUACUGCUUGGCUUGAAUGUGGAAGAGGGCAGUAGAAUUCCAGGUGUAGUGGUGAAAUACGUAGAUAUCUGGAGGAAUACCGGUGGCGAAGGCGGCUGCCUGGUCCUACAUUGACGCUGAGGAGCGAAAGCCAGGGGAGCAAACGGG
rnacentral:rRNA from 1 species